UAGCGUAGGGUCCGAGCGUUGUCCGGAAUUACUGGGCGUAAAGAGCUCGUAGGUGGUUUGUCGCGUUGUCCGUGAAAACUCACAGCUCAACUGUGGGCGUGCGGGCGAUACGGGCAGACUGGAGUACUGCAGGGGAGACUGGAAUUCCUGGUGUAGCGGUGGAAUGCGCAGAUAUCAGGAGGAACACCGGUGGCGAAGGCGGGUCUCUGGGCAGUAACUGACGCUGGAGGAGCGAAAGCCGUGGGGAGCGAACAGG
rnacentral:rRNA from 1 species